CUCACCGGGGGUGACAGCAAGAUGUAGGUCAAGCUAAAGACUUUACCUGAAUCGCUGAGAGGAGGUGCAUGGCCGUCGUCAGUUCGUACUGUGAAGCAUCCUGUUAAGUCAGGCAACGAGCGAGACCCGUGCCCACUGUUCCCAGCAUGUCCUUCGGGAUGAUGGGUACUCUGUGGGGACCGCUGGUGCUAAACCAGAGGAAGGUGCGGGCUACGGUAGGUCAGUAUGCCCCGAAUCUCCCGGGCUACACGCGGGCUACAAUGGUUGGGACAAUGGGUCCCUACCCCGAAAGGUGAUGGUAAUCUCUUAAACCCAACCGUAGUUCGAAUCGAGGACUGUAACUCGUCCUCGUGAAGCUGGAAUCCGUAGUAAUCGCGUUUCAACAUAGCGCGGUGAAUACGUCCCUGCUCCUUGCACACACCGCCCGU
rnacentral:rRNA from 1 species